CGACAAUGGCCAAGUCGGUGGUGCAUCUACGCUCCCUAAUCAGUGUGUUUUCGUGAAAUGUGUUUUCCGCUCGGUGGCCAUUUUAUGGUUUUGUCGAUUGGCGCACAAAAAAAGAGCUUUGAUCAUGGUUUCGAUGUUGCCUUAUUCAUGAUUGCUGUUCUGGGACGUGAACUUCAACUUUUGCCAGCCAUAUCUUAGAAUAAUAUAAUAAAUUUAAUGUAGAUAUUAUGUGUUAUAAUAUUAUGUGGUUUACUGAUUGAGAGUAGAAGAGGGAAAGGAUGUAGAGAUCAGUACAAUAAUAUAAAAAAAAAUAUUGGAAUAACAAUAUAGAAAUUUAGAUUAUUCCCAGUUAUUAGUUGAUUGAAAUGGAAAUAAUAAUGAAAAAGCGUGACAUGCGCGAAAAGAAAAAGUUUAAUAAUUCUGUCUAUAUUAUUAUGUUUGAGAAUUUAUUAGAGUGUUACUCCAAGAGAGAGAGAGAGCCCAGAGAAAAAAAGGUAUUUGAGCGGAGCGAGAAAUUUGCUUCACAGCAUCAUAGAGGUAGAAGAAAGUAGCUCAGUUUUGUGACUAUAGUUAUGGAGAACGGGUGUGUGUGAAAAGUGUAAAAAAAAAACAAAGAAUUGGAAAAAAAAUAAAAACAUAUUGCUUCUCCUAAACGGUGUUUUAGUUGUUAGUGAAGAACAAAAAAUGAAAUCCGA